rnacentral:rRNA from 1 species
AUGGACUGCGAGGGCUGCGAGAGGAGGGUCAAGAACGCCGUCAAAUCGAUUCGGGGUGUGACAAGCGUGGCCGUAAACCCCAAGAUGAGCAAGGUGACGGUGACAGGGCACGUGGAGCCGCGCAAGGUGCUGGAGCGGGUGAAGAGCACGGGGAAGGCGGCGGAGAUGUGGCCGUACGUGCCCUACACGCUCGCCACCUACCCUACGUCGGCGGCGCCUACGACAAGAAGGCACCGGCGGGCUUCGUCCGCAGCGCACCGCAGGCCAUGGCCGACCCCGCGGCGCCUGAGAUCCACUACAUGA